GCUAACUACGGGCCAGCAGCCGCGGUAAUACGUAGGGUGCGAGCGUUAAUCGGAAUUACUGGGCGUAAAGCGUGCGCAGGCGGUUUUGUAAGACAGAUGUGAAAUCCCCGGGCUUAACCUGGGAACUGCAUUUGUGACUGCAAGGCUAGAGUACGGCAGAGGGGGGUAGAAUUCCACGUGUAGCAGUGAAAUGCGUAGAUAUGUGGAGGAAUACCGAUGGCGAAGGCAGCCCCCUGGGUCGAUACUGACGCUCAUGCACGAAAGCGUGGGGAGCAAACAGGAUUAGAUACCCUGGUAGUC
rnacentral:rRNA from 1 species